rnacentral:misc_RNA from 1 species
UACGGAGGGUGCAAGCGUUGUUCGGAAUCAUUGGGCGUAAAGGGCGCGCAGGCGGCCUGGAAAGUCCGGCGUGAAAUCCCAGGGCUCAACCCUGGAACUGCGUUGGAAACUAUUAGGCUUGAGUAUGGGAGAGGUCCGUGGAAUUCCAGGUGUAGGGGUGAAAUCCGUAGAGAUCUGGAGGAACACCGGCGGCGAAAGCGACGGACUGGACCAAUACUGACGCUGAGGCGCGAAAGCGUGGGGAGCAAACAGG